GUUCCCAUUCCAGAUCCAAUUCUGAUUCCUACUACGAACCAUACGUGCCCUAAUUGUCUAGAUAUUUGAUUGCAUCAAAACACACAAACAUGGAAAUAAUAUUUUCAAUUCACUUGUUAAAAUAAUUACAAUGAUCUAAUUCCAAAUCAGCAAUUUAGACUUCAUGAUCCUACUUAUAAAUACAGUUCGUCUACCAUGGAU
rnacentral:lncRNA from 1 species